GUCUGUGGCCACGCUACCCUGAACAAGCCCAAUCCUAUCUGAUCUCGUAAGCUAAACAGGGUCGGGCCUGGUUAGUAUUUGGAUGGGAGACCACUCAGGAAAACCAGGUGCUGUAGGCA
rnacentral:rRNA from 1 species